rnacentral:rRNA from 1 species
GACCUUCGGGUCUAGCGGCGGACGGGUGAGUAACGCGUGGGAACGUACCCUUUUCUGCAGGAUAGCCACUGGAAACGGUGAGUAAUACUGCAUACGCCCUUCGGGGGAAAGAUUUAUCGGAGAAGGAUCGGCCCGCGUUAGAUUAGGUAGUUGGUGGGGUAAUGGCCUACCAAGCCUACGAUCUAUAGCUGGUUUGAGAGGAUGAUCAGCCACACUGGGACUGAGACACGGCCCAGACUCCUACGGGAGGCAGCAGUGGGGAAUCUUAGACAAUGGGGGCAACCCUGAUCUAGCCAUGCCGCGUGAGUGAUGAAGGCCUUAGGGUCGUAAAGCUCUUUCGCUGGGGAAGAUAAUGACGGUACCCAGUAAAGAAACCCCGGCUAACUCCGUGCCAGCAGCCGCGGUAAUACGGAGGGGGUUAGCGUUGUUCGGAAUUACUGGGCGUAAAGCGCGCGUAGGCGGAUCAGAAAGUUGGGGGUGAAAUCCCGGGGCUCAACCUCGGAACUGCCUCCAAAACUCCUGGUCUUGAGUUCGAGAGAGGUGAGUGGAACUCCGAGUGUAGAGGUGAAAUUCGUAGAUAUUCGGAAGAACACCAGUGGCGAAGGCGGCUCACUGGCUCGAUACUGACGCUGAGGUGCGAAAGUGUGGGGAGCAAACAGGAUUAGAUACCCUGGUAGUCCACACCGUAAA